CUGUGGAUAGCUCAGUUGGUAGACCACGAGGCUCUUAAUCUCGGGGCCGGGAGUUCGAGCCCCACACUGCACG